CCGCCCCCCGCCCCUCCCCCCGUGCCCAGCACGGUCCCGCGGCGGCUCCUCAGCGACGCGGGGGAGGGGGAGGGGGAGGGCAGCGACGACCCCCUGGACGGCGACGACGAGCUGGUCAUCGACCUCCCGGAGUGACCUCUGACCCCGGAGUGACCUUGGAGUGACCACGGAGUGACCAUCGACCUCCCGGAGUGACCCCGGAGUGACCAUCAACCUCCCGGAGUGACCUUUGACCCCGGAGUGAUCACUGAGUGACCUCUGAGUGGCCAUUGACCUCCCCGAGUGACCUCUGACCCCGGAGUGACCCCUGAAUGACCAUCGACCUCUCGGAGUGACCUUUGACCCCGGAGUGACCAUCGACCUCCCGGAGUGACCUUUGACCCCGGAGUGACCAUCGACCUCCCGGAGUGACCACUGAGUGACCACUGAGUGACCAUCGACCUCCCGGAGUGACCUCUGACCCCGGAGUGACCACUGAGUGACCAUUGAGCUCCCGGAGUGACCUUUGCCCCCGGAGUGACCAUCGACCUCCUGGAGCGACCUCUGACCCCGGAGUGACCAUCGACCUCCCAGAGUGACCACUGAGUGACCACUGAGUGACCAUUGACCUCCCCGAGUGACCUUUGACCCCGGAGUGACCAUCGACCUCCCCGAGUGACCACUGAGUGACCACUGAGUGACCAUUGACCUCCCGGAGUGACCUCUGACCCCGGAGUGAUCUCUGACCCCGGAGUGAUCACUGAGUGACCCCUGAGUGACCACCGACCUCCUCGAGUGACCUCUGACCCCAGAGUGACCCUGGAGUGACCAUCGACCUCCCCGAGUGACCUUUGACCUCCCAGAGUGACCACAGAGUGACCAUCGACCUCCCGGAGUGAUCUCUGACCCCGGAGUGACCUCUGACCCCAGAGUGACCACUGAGUGACCACUGAGUGACCCUCGACCUCCCUGAGUGAGCUUUGACCCCGGAGUGACCAUCGACCUCCCAGAGUGACCUUUGACCCCAGAGUGACCACGGAGUGACCAUCGACCUCCCAGAGUGACCUCUGACCCCGGAGUGAUCACUGAGUGACCACAGAGUGACCAUUGACCUCCCAGAGUUACCAUGGAUGACCCCAGAGUGACCCCGGAGUGACCAUCGGCCUCCCAGAGUGACCUCUGACCCCUGACUGACCUCUGAGUGGCCCCGUAACCUCCCAGAGUGACCAUAAGUGACCGCUGACCCCUGAGUGACCCCGGAGUGACCCUUGACCUCCCAGAGUGACCUUUGACCCUCGGAGUGACCACAAGUGACCGUCGAUGGUCAUCGACAUCCCGGAGUGACCCCUGAGUGACCUCUGACCCCGGAGUGACCAUCGACCUCCUCGAGUGACCUUUGACCCCGGGGCGACCCCGGGCUGACCCCGCCCCCGAAAUGGGGCUAAUUUGGGGGAAAUAAACGGAAUUUUGGG